rnacentral:rRNA from 1 species
CGGUAAGGCCCUUCGGGGUACACGAGCGGCGAACGGGUGAGUAWYMCGUGAGUAAUCUGCCCCUCACUUCGGGAUAAGCCUCGGAAACGGGGUCUAAUACCGGAUACGACACAGACCUGCAUGGGUUCUGUGAUGGAAAGUUUUUCGGUGGGGGAUGUGCUCGCGGCCUAUCAGCUUGUUGGUGGGGUAAU